GUGCUCGCUUCAGCAGCAUAUAUACUAAAAUUGGAAUGAUACAGAGAUUAGCAUGGUUCCUGCACAAGGAUGACACCCAAAUUUGUUAAGUGUUCCAUAUUUUU